CGGAGGGAUCAUUAAAGAGUUCUAUAACUCCCAAACCCAUGUGAACAUACCUAACGUUGCCUCGGCAGGUCGCACCUACCUUGUAGCACCCUACCCUGUAGGGCCUACCCGGGAGGUGCGGGUAAGCCUGCCGGCGGCCCACCAAACUCUGUUUGAUAUUGAAUUCUGAACCUAUAACUAAAUAAGUUAAAACUUUCAACAACGGAUCUCUUGGUUCUGGCAUCGAUGAAGAACGCAGCGAAAUGCGAUAAGUAAUGUGAAUUGCAGAAUUCAGUGAAUCAUCGAAUCUUUGAACGCAUAUUGCGCCCAUUAGUAUUCUAGUGGGCAGGACCGUUCGAGCGUCAUUUCAACCCUUAAGCCUUCGUUGCUUAGUGUUGGGAGCCUACGGCAACGUAGCUCCUCAAAGUUAGUGGCGGAGUUGGUUCACACUCUAGACGUAGUAAUUUUUUAUCUCGCCUAUUAGUUGGACUAAUCCCCUGCCGUAAAACCCCUAAUUUAUCAAGGUUGACCUCGAAUCGGUUCAGACAAACUCGCUAAAUUGAAGCAUCUUAGUCAGCGAAGGAAAAGAAACCAACAGGGAUUGCCCUAGUAACGGCGAGUGAAGCGGCAACAGC
rnacentral:rRNA from 1 species